rnacentral:lncRNA from 1 species
AUGAUCUACUUUAUAUGGUUCUGUCUUAGUCCUGAAGUGAGCACUUUGUUAUUGGCAGAUUUAGAAAAGCAUGCACAUGUUUUGAGUUACUGUAUAAAAAUCCAGUCUUGGGAGGAAUAUGUUCUACUUUUGUCACCUUGCUACAUAAUUACAGUAUACAGUAUACUAAUUACUGUGAAUGUCAGUACUAUACAGUGGACAUUGUUAUCAACACUGAAGAGGAUGGUUAUACUAGAUCUUAUAGUGUCUCACAAAUGUCUUUAGACUCCUGCACCAUUUUCAUAUUUUGAUGCUUUAAAACUUGCAGUCAUGAAACUUUGAAAUCACAAUUGAUAUUUGAAAUGUGCACAUAUGUGUAUAUCUACUCCACACAUUCAAAGCAAAAAAAAAACAAACAAAGAGAAAAUAUGAAAAAAUAUAUAAAAAGUCAGGAAUGCUUAUGUAGCAGCAAGGCUUAUUAAUAAUACAGGAAUUAAGUUUUCUGCUCACUUGCCGGUCCCUCUCUCCCUCAUCUCAGUGGUGCUGGACACAGAGAGGCCAUUCCAUUUAGUUCAGAUUUAAGGUGUUUUCCUAUCUGAUAGAGUUUCCUGAUAAGGAACAAGGCUGAGAUUCUCCAGCCACCCUAAUGAAUGGUUAUCUCUGGCUCCUUACUGUCUGGGAGAUUCCAAGGGAGAGUCUUAUCCCAGGUUGUUUAUAAUCCUAAUGUCAGAGAGCAUUGUUACUAAUCCUCCACCUCAAUCAGCCAAACAGGAACUAGUAGGGCAGGGUAACCCCACGUGGGUUAAACCAAUGAACAACCCUAGUUCCUCCGGAUAAAAGAGGCAGCACAGGGCCCAGAAGUUGCCCCUCCAGGACAUUCUUAGACUCAUCUCGGACAAUCACGUGACGGCCAGUGUGUCUGAGUGCCAGGACUUUACUUUGUUCUAAGAGUCGAGAACAGAGGUCCCUUGCGCAUAUCCAAAGGAUCUGCCUGAGGUUAGCCCAGCAGCAAGAAUUUUGAACUGCUGGUACCCCACUGCAAAUGCUUGCCUGAUCAACGAGUGAACUACGGUCAGAACUGUCAACAGCUGAAUCUUAGUAUUCAGAACUAGUGCUACAUCAGGAAUAAACCGGUCUUCUUCCCAUCUAAAGAGUGUGACUUGCUUGGACCAGCAGUCAUUUUUCAUGUGCACAAACUCUGCUAGUUCAGCUGGGACUAACUAGACGUUCUUCAGAGAGCAACUGGCAGCAUGCAGCAGCAGGAAUUUCUCCCUCCUUCUCCCCCACCUCACACUGAACAGGACUGCCUGGCACUGGGCCAGAGGAUGCCGAUUUGACACAGCAACAGCCUGCUCAUUUAUGAAAUGGUAUCAAUUAAAUGAAUGGUAUACUGAAUGUAUGUCCCUCUUGGUUUGUAACUCUUCGUUAUUGAAUAUAUACCUUUUGUAUUCUGCUAACCCUCACUAUAA